rnacentral:tRNA from 1 species
GAGACAUUAGUAAAAAUAAAUUACAUCAUCUUGUCAAGAUAAAGUCGUGGGUUAAAUUCCCACAUGUCUUG